ensembl:lncRNA
CGCGCAAGGCGCCAAAUGAAGUCCUGCUUAAUAACAGAAUAAAGAUUUUACAUUAUUCUUGUAUUGACUCAAUGAAAAGCAUCAUUCUGCUUUUGCCUCAGACUGACGGUGAUCCUGAUAACCCCACAGUUCUGAAUAGUCCAGCACCUUCACUCUUCUGCAGUUUUUGAAGGCUCUUAACUGCUUUUUAAUCAGUGAUUAUUAGAGAUGUGGAAGGCUGUGCAGGCGCCGGAAUCCCCAGACGCAGAAGAGUGCCUGUCAAUAUGUCAUGUCAAUUAGCCCACCGCGAGACGGCCCCCUCCAUAGCAGAUCUACUCCAGCACUUACCUCUGUCUGCACAAGGAGGGAAAUGAUCUCAUUGCUAGGCAUUCGGAUUGACUUAAAGCUAUUUUUGAAAGAAAGUAGUAUGCAGUUUGUAUACUGUGCACUAUUUGUCACUUUUCUGUGUGUGUGGAACACCUGAACAACCUACUAUUUGACAAAACGUGUAGUACACAGCCUGUGUAAAUAGU